AUGAGUGCAAGAGACAGAGAAAGAGGGGACAGCCAAAGACACAGUAUUAGAGAAUGAGUGAGCCAUGGUGAAAGCAUUGAGAGGAGCCAAUGGAAAUGACAAUGAACAGAGCUGAUUCAUCCACUUCACCAUACAGUAUAUACAUACUGACAUUAAAAGCUGUGCCUGUGAGGAGAAAGUAUAGUACAGUGUAUAAACUGACUAGAUAUUAGCUCCUACAAAAACAUUUAAUAUUUUUACAAUGCAGGUAAACAUUUAGCUAAUAUAAAAUGAUGUACGCUCAAUUUUUUUAAAGAUCACACUCCAAACUCUCUUGUCCCUGCAGGAGAGGACGGUAAAAGAGGGAGGACAACCUCUAAUUAGCGCAGGUAAUAGGUCCUGGUUAAAAGUAGUACACUAUAUAGGGAAUAGGUCCUGGUUAAAAGUAGUACACUAUAUAGGUAAUAGGUCCUGGUUAAAAGUAGUACACUAUAUAGGUAAUAGGUCCUGGUUAAAAGUAGUACACUAUAUAGGUAAUAGGUCCUGGUUAAAAGUAGUACACUAUAUAGGUAAUAGGUCCUGGUUAAAAGUAGUACACUAUAUAGGUAAUAGGUCCUGGUUAAAAGUAGUACACUAUAUAGGUAAUAGGUCCUGGUUAAAAGUAGUACACUAUAUAGGUAAUAGGUCCUGGUUAAAAGUAGUACACUAUAUAGGUAAUAGGUCCUGGUUAAAAGUAGUACACUAUAUAGGUAAUAGGUCCUGGUUAAAAGUAGUACACUAUAUAGGUAAUAGGUCCUGGUUAAAAGUAGUACACUAUAUAGGUAAUAGGUCCUGGUUAAAAGUAGUACACUAUAUAGGUAAUAGGUCCUGGUUAAAAGUAGUACACUAUAUAGGGAAUAGGGUGCCAUUUAGGAUGCCGCCUGUGUGUUUGGAAGCUUGUCUAAACAGAAGAGAGCUUCACCGGCUGGACAGUAUAAA